AGAGUUUGAUCCUGGCUCAGAUUGAACGCUGGCGGCAUGCCUUACACAUGCAAGUCGAACGGUAACAGGUCUUCGGAUGCUGACGAGUGGCGAACGGGUGAGUAAUACAUCGGAAUGUGCCCGAUCGUGGGGGAUAACGAGGCGAAAGCUUUGCUAAUACCGCAUACGAUCUACGGAUGAAAGCGGGGGAUCUUCGGACCUCGCGCGGACGGAGCGGCCGAUGGCAGAUUAGGUAGUUGGUGGGAUAAAAGCUUACCAAGCCGACGAUCUGUAGCUGGUCUGAGAGGAUGAUCAGCCACACUGGGACUGAGACACGGCCCAGACUCCUACGGGAGGCAGCAGUGGGGAAUUUUGGACAAUGGGCGAAAGCCUGAUCCAGCCAUGCCGCGUGCAGGAUGAAGGCCUUCGGGUUGUAAACUGCUUUUGUACGGAACGAAAAGCCUCUUUCU
rnacentral:rRNA from 1 species